rnacentral:lncRNA from 1 species
GGCUUCCAGGUGCUAGUAGCCCUCAUUCAAUUCUUCUCUUUGUUGUAAAUCGAGAUGGGGAUAUUGCUGUAAGAAAUUCUUGGGUGUGAAGGGAUUAAAGUGUCCCUUCUCCGAAAAUGAGGUUGGGAGCUUUUCUGGUGUUGGGUUCUAGCCCCAGUGUUGUUUUACCGUAACAUCAGGACUUUCAAACUCGGCUUGUGCCAGCUCCUUCACCAAGCUUCUCCUUCUUCCUGAAUCCACAAUAUGACUCUCCUUCAGUAAUAGUCCUUUGGUGUUAAUCGGCCAGUCCUUCAGUUCAUCAGCAGGCAUAAUAGCAUUACUCACCCUCGUGAUCCCUGCAACCUCCUCAUCAACAUCUACCAGCAGCCCCUGCGGCCAGGUUGACUGUCCAGUGGAAGAUGCCAAAAAACUCCAUUCACCAGACUCCACACAUUACUUACCCACGUAGCCCAUCACUGUGGAGAACAUAUGUACCUGAGCCACGCUUUAUCCAGCCUAGAAUUGUUGAUCAGCCAGAUCCAGAAACUUUGAAGAAGCAAUGUAUGUACCGAAAGAAGCUGGAAAAGGAAAAAAAGAAGGCCAUGAAGAAAAGGUAAGCAGUAAAAUGCGAUUUCUAUUUCUACAGUGAGAGCUGAUCACAACAAACAUAUUAAAUGAUUAUUAAUUAUUAUUAAAUAUGAAAUCCCCUUUAAAAGGGGAUGCUGAUGAUCCUGACCCUAAUAUACUCAUAUUACACUUCUGUAAAGUAUGUAGGAUCCCAGAACUG